CAAAGUAAGGCUUUAUAGGUUAGCAUCUCGGUUACGUUGAGGGGGGUUGUCGUGCGAGUCGGCAAUAUUUUGA
rnacentral:tRNA from 1 species